rnacentral:rRNA from 1 species
AGAUUGAACGCUGGCGGCAUGCCUUACACAUGCAAGUCGAACGGCAGCACGGGGGCAACCCUGGUGGCGAGUGGCGAACGGGUGAGUAAUACAUCGGAACGUGUCCUGUAGUGGGGGAUAGCCCGGCGAAAGCCGGAUUAAUACCGCAUACGAUCUACGGAAGAAAGCGGGGGAUCCUUCGGGACCUCGCGCUAUAGGGGCGGCCGAUGGCAGAUUAGCUAGUUGGUGGGGUAAAGCCUACCAAGGCGACGAUCUGUAGCUGGUCUGAGAGGACGACCAGCCACACUGGGACUGAGACACGGCCCAGACUCCUACGGGAGGCAGCAGUGGGGAAUAUUGGACAAUGGGCGCAAGCCUGAUCCAGCCAUGCCGCGUGAGUGAUGAAGGCCCUAGGGUUGUAAAGCUCUUUUGUGCGGGAAGAUAAUGACGGUACCGCAAGAAUAAGCCCGGCUAACUUCGUGCCAGCAGCCGC